rnacentral:rRNA from 1 species
AACGAACGCUGGCGGCAUGCCUAACACAUGCAAGUCGAACGGCAGCACGGUUAAGUACUUGUACUUAAUGGGUGGCGAGUGGCGAACGGGUGAGUAAUGCGCAGGAAUGUGCCUUAAAGAGGGGGAUAACUUGGGGAAACUCAAGCUAAUACCGCAUAAGCUCUGAGGAGUAAAGCUGGGGACCUUCGGGCCUGGCGCUUUAAGAAUAGCCUGCGUCCGAUUAGCUAGUUGGUAGGGUAAAGGCCUACCAAGGCGACGAUCGGUAGCUGGUCUGAGAGGAUGAACAGCCACACCGGGACUGAGACACGGCCCAGACUCCUACGGGAGGCAGCAGUGGGGAAUAUUGGACAAUGGGGGCAACCCUGAUCCAGCAAUGCCGCGUGUGUGAAGAAGGCCUGAGGGUUGUAAAGCACUUUCAGUGGGGAGGAGGAUUGAUUGGUUAAGAGCUGAUUAAUUGGACGUUACCUACAGAAGAAGCACCGGCUAACUCCGUGCCAGCCGCCGCCGUAA